GCCUACGGGGGGCAGCAGUGGGGAAUAUUGGGCAAUGGGCGCAAGCCUGACCCAGCAACGCCGCGUGAAGGAAGAAGGCUUUCGGGUUGUAAACUUCUUUUCAGAGGGAAGAGCAGAAGACGGUACCUCUUGAAUAAGCCACGGCUAACUACGUGCCAGCAGCCGCGGAAAUACGUAGGAUGCGAGCGUUAUCCGGAUUUAUUGGGUUUAAAGGGUGCGUAGGCGGGACGGUAAGUCACCGGUAAAAAU
rnacentral:rRNA from 1 species